rnacentral:rRNA from 1 species
UGUCUAGUAUAGCAUCUAUACCGUGAAACUGCGAAUGGCUCAUUAAAUCAGUUAUCGUUUAUUUGAUAGUACCUUACUACUUGGAUAACCGUGGUAAUUCUAGAGCUAAUACAUGCUAAAAACCUCGACUUCGGAAGGGGUGUAUUUAUUAGAUAAAAAACCAGUGCCCUUCGGGGCUCUCUGGUGAUUCAUAAUAACUUAACGAAUCGCAUGGCCUUGUGCCGGCGAUGGUUCAUUCAAAUUUCUGCCCUAUCAACUUUCGAUUGUAUGGUCUUGGCUUACAAUGGUUUCAACGGGUAACGGGGAAUUAGGGUUCUAUUCCGGAGAGGGAGCCUGAGAAACGGCUACCACAUCCAAGGAAGGCAGCAGGCGCGCAAAUUACCCAAUCCCGACACGGGGAGGUAGUGACAAUAAAUACUGAUACAGGGCUCUUUUGGGUCUUGUAAUUGGAAUGAGUACAAUUUAAAUCCCUUAACGAGGAACAAUUGGAGGGCAAGUCUGGUGCCAGCAGCCGCGGUAAUUCCAGCUCCAAUAGCGUAUAUUAAAGUUGUUGCAGUUAAAAAGCUCGUAGUUGAACCUUGGGCCUGGCUGGCCGGUCCGCCUCACCGCGUGCACUGGUCCGGCCGGGCCUUUCCUCCUGGGGAGCCGCAUGCCCUUCACUGGGUGUGCCGGGGAACCAGGACUUUUACUUUGAAAAAAUUAGAGUGUUCAAAGCAGGCCUAUGCUCGAAUACAUUAGCAUGGAAUAAUAGAAUAGGACGUGUGGUUCUAUUUUGUUGGUUUCUAGGACCGCCGUAAUGAUUA